rnacentral:rRNA from 1 species
AAUAUUGCGCAAUGGACGGAAGUCUGACGCAGCGACGCCGCGUGAGCGAUGAAGGACUNCGGGUCNUNUAGCGCGGUCCUUGGGGNAGAAGGCGAAAGCAUGACGGUACCCGAGAAGGAAGCCCCGGCUAACUACGUGCCAGAAGCCGCGGUAAUACGGAGGGGGCUAGCGUUGUCCGGAAUUACUGGGCGUAAAGGGUGCGUAGGCGGCCCUUUAAGUCAAAUGUGAAAGACUACAGCUCAACUGUGGUAAGCAUUUGAACCUGAAAGGCUUGAGUUAAGGAGAGGAAAGUGGAAUUCCUAGUGUAGCGGUGAAAUGCGUAGAUAUUAGGAGGAACACCAGUGGCGAAGGCGGCUUUCUGGACCACAACUGACGCUGAGGCUCGAAAGAGUGGGGAGCAAACAGG